rnacentral:lncRNA from 1 species
AUUGAGUGACUCGGACAUUUGGCACGGCUUUUUCCGUGAGCGUAGAGCGCCGCUUAGUUGAACUAUCCUUGCUAUUUGGGAUCCUUGGGACGUCCAUACCCCCCAUUGAAGUUGACAUUUAAAAUUGUUAAGGUAAGGGUUACGGUUAGGUAAGGGUUAAGGUUAUGUUUAGGGUAAGGGUUAAGGUUCUAGGGUAGGGACGUCCCAAGGAUUCAGAAUAGCACUCCGUUGAACUGCUUCGAAACAUCUUCAUGGACUUUUGAAUUAAAUGGCAGUCUCGCAUAGUCGCUUCACUCCCGACAGCUCCACUAGAAUGCAACAAAGAGGUACCCCCUUACCAUCAGGUUCCCACAGCAACCACCUCUGAGGUCAACUGAAGUGUGCAAGUCUCUCUUGUACUAAGGAGUUGUGAAUGAGACUGCCAUUGCUCCGGUCCAGAACAAACCUCACUGGACACCUCAGGCAGAGGGAGACUUCCCCAUGAAUGGAGCCCCUGCACUCCAGGAGUCUUUGCUAAAACAGAGAGAGCGACCAGAAGACUACAGCCGGAACCAGCCCUUUGGCUUUCAAACUCAAUUCAACUUCAAAUAUCUUUACAAAUAACAGACUGCAAUCAUCUGAGAAAGAGAGUGAGGAAUAAGCAUCAGAGACACUAUUGAAGCCAGACUCUGGUCUGGCGGUAAGACACCCAUACACAGUGAGCCUGCCCCUGCUGUCCUCCGAUGGAGACCCCGGGUAGAGCAAGACGCUGCUGCAACGUUACAGGGGGACCCCCAGUAAAGGAGUCAUCCAGAGGGGAACACAGCGUUGCAGUGUGCGACAUGAAUGCAGUGAAAACUACUGAGCUGUCUGUCCACAGUAAGGAGAACAGGCAAAGUCCUGGACACCUAAAGACUAAAGAGGACGAGGAGGACCCCUGGGACAGGAAGGACCCCAGUAACCACACAACCAGGAAGCAUCCCUCAACCACUGGGGGAAAGAAUGUUCUGCAGUUAAGACUUCAGCAGAGGAGGACUCGAGAGCAGCUUGCAGACCAAGGCAUCAUGCCUCGUGAGUAACACUCUUUUACACACGAAGUCAUGCGCAUGUGUACACACACACACACACACGCACACCACGCAUAAGUGUGUGUGACACCAUGUAUUGCAUUACUAUAGAGAGUGAGAGAGAAAGAGCGAGAGAAAAAG